AGGUAAUCUUGCUGGGAGUGAAGGCAGUGCGUAUGACCGCUUGAUAUGAGAGACACAUCCUGUAUUUCAAGGUGGAUCAUGAGUGAAGCUCUGCAGGUCGGCCAUUGACUUGAUAACAGUGGUUUAUGUUUAUUCAAUUUAUGAAUAAAUCUCUCGCCAACCAUUCACCUAUUUACUGACAAAACAGAUCCAAAUCUUGUUCAGCCUGAUGCUCAACCUUGUAUGAUGAUGACCAGAGCAAGGCAAUGCGAAUCUGUGGUAAUCACAGCCUGCGUCUCAAGAUCAACAUGACAA